rnacentral:rRNA from 2 species
UGAACGCUGGCGGCGUGCCUAAUACAUGCAAGUCGAGCGAACAGACGAGGAGCUUGCUCCUCUGAUGUUAGCGGCGGACGGGUGAGUAACACGUGGAUAACCUACCUAUAAGACUGGGAUAACUUCGGGAAACCGGAGCUAAUACCGGAUAACAUGUUGAACCGCAUGGUUCAACAGUGAAAGACGGUCUUGCUGUCACUUAUAGAUGGAUCCGCGCCGCAUUAGCUAGUUGGUAAGGUAACGGCUUACCAAGGCAACGAUGCGUAGCCGACCUGAGAGGGUGAUCGGCCACACUGGAACUGAGACACGGUCCAGACUCCUACGGGAGGCAGCAGUAGGGAAUCUUCCGCAAUGGGCGAAAGCCUGACGGAGCAACGCCGCGUGAGUGAAGAAGGUCUUCGGAUCGUAAAACUCUGUUAUUAGGGAAGAACAAAUGUGUAAGUAACUAUGCACGUCUUGACGGUACCUAAUCAGAAAGCCACGGCUAACUACGUGCCAGCAGCCGCGGUAAUACGUAGGUGGCAAGCGUUAUCCGGAAUUAUUGGGCGUAAAGCGCGCGUAGGCGGUUUUUUAAGUCUGAUGUGAAAGCCCACGGCUCAACCGUGGAGGGUCAUUGGAAACUGGAAAACUUGAGUGCAGAAGAGGAAAGUGGAAUUCCAUGUGUAGCGGUGAAAUGCGCAGAGAUAUGGAGGAACACCAGUGGCGAAGGCGACUUUCUGGUCUGUAACUGACGCUGAUGUGCGAAAGCGUGGGGAUCAAACAGGAUUAGAUACCCUGGUAGUCCACGCCGUAAACGAUGAGUGCUAAGUGUUAGGGGGUUUCCGCCCCUUAGUGCUGCAGCUAACG